rnacentral:rRNA from 1 species
GCGAAAUGCGAUAAGUAAUGUGAAUUGCAGAAUUCAGUGAAUCAUCGAAUCUUUGAACGCACCUUGCGCCCUUUGGCCAUUCCGAAGGGCAUGCCUGUUUGAGUAUCAUGAACACCUCAACUCCUCAUGGUCUUCUAUGAUGAGCUUGGACUUUGGGGGUUUGCUGGCCCAUUUGGUCAGCUCCUCUCAAAUGAAUCAGCCUACCAGUGUUUGGUGGCACCACAGGUGUGAUAACAAUCUACGCUUGGGGUUUUCCACCGGGCAACCUUCAGUGAUGGGGGUUCACUGGGGCUCACAAAUGUCUUUCUUCAGUGAGGACAGCUCUUUGAAUGUUUGAUCUCAAAUCAGGUAGGACUACCCGCUGAACUUAAGCAUAUCAAUAAGCGGAGGAAAAGAAACU